CCUACGGGCGGCAGCAGUGGGGAAUAUUGGACAAUGGGCGAAAGCCUGAUCCAGCCAUGCCGCGUGUGUGAAGAAGGCCUUCGGGUUGUAAAGCACUUUCAGUGGGGAAGAAAGCCUUGGGGCUAAUACCCUCGAGGAAGGACAUCACCCACAGAAGAAGCACCGGCUAACUCGUGCCAGCAGCCGCGGUAAUACGGAGGGUGCGAGCGUUAAUCGGAAUUACUGGGCGUAAAGCGCGCGUAGGCGGUCUGAUAAGCCGGUUGUGAAAGCCCCGGGCUCAACCUGGGAACGGCAUCCGGAACUGUCAGGCUAGAGUGCAGGAGAGGAAGGUAGAAUUCCCGGUGUAGCGGUGAAAUGCGUAGAGAUCGGGAGGAAUACCAGUGGCGAAGGCGGCCUUCUGGACUGACACUGACGCUGAGGUGCGAAAGCGUGGGUAGCAAACAGGAUUAGAUACCCGGGUAGUC
rnacentral:rRNA from 1 species